UACGGGGGUAGCAAGCGUUGUUCGGAUUUACUGGGCGUAAAGGGUGCGUAGGCGGCCACCGCAAGUCGACUGUGAAAUCUCCGGGCUUAACCCGGAAAGGUCAGCCGAUACUGCGGGGCUAGAGUGCAGAAGGGGCAACUGGAAUUCUCGGUGUAGCGGUGAAAUGCGUAGAUAUCGAGAGGAACACCUGCGGCGAAGGCAGGUUGCUGGGCUGACACUGACGCUGAGACGCGAAAGCUAGGGGAGCAAACGGG
rnacentral:rRNA from 1 species